rnacentral:rRNA from 1 species
UACGUAGGGGGCAAGCGUUGUCCGGAAUUAUUGGGCGUAAAGAGCUCGUAGGCGGUUUGUCGCGUCUGCUGUGAAAACUCGGGGCUCAACUCCGAGCUUGCAGUGGGUACGGGCAGACUAGAGUGCGGUAGGGGAGACUGGAAUUCCUGGUGUAGCGGUGGAAUGCGCAGAUAUCAGGAGGAACACCGGUGGCGAAGGCGGGUCUCUGGGCCGUAACUGACGCUGAGGAGCGAAAGCAUGGGGAGCGAACAGG